CGAAAGCUGAGACUGCAGACGACAAAACAAUAUUUUCAUUACCGAAUGGUUUAUAAAUAUAUUCUAUAAAAACCGCAGGUAAAGAGAGAGGCACAGUAUCUAUAAAAGAUAACAAAAAAAUCUAGAAAUCAAUACCUUGACGCAUCAUUUCAAAGCAGCCGUGACGUCACCGAAACUUUCAAUGUAUAUCAACACAUUACUUCGCUGCAAAGCUGAGCAGAUUGGUGUACAGACGGCCGAGUAUUUUGUUCCUUCGAGCUCCUCAGCGGCUGCUGGAUACAGAGACCAAGACGAGAACAUAAACCCCAAAAAGGCGUAUCGGUUUAUAGACGAACGGUGGGGAGAAAACAAUUGUUGCGGGUGCAAGUACGGCCACGGCCUGUCUCGUCGCCGUCGUAUAAUCGGAGCACGCGCUGCGCGCCACGCCAAUCCUCAUAGCAACACCUUUGCUCUUUGGAUGUGCAUUGCAUUGAUGUUGCCGGCUGCCUUUUUUUGGACUUUUUACUUUUUUUCGAUGGACUGACAUC
rnacentral:lncRNA from 1 species